rnacentral:lncRNA from 1 species
CCGUUCCGUCAAGCGGCGGAGCGCUGCGGGUUGCCUGUCCCCAGGUCCUGAAUGUCACCCAGGCAUUGUACAAUUUUAUGAUGGUGGUGGCGGAGGAAGCUGAGGGGGCGGCUGCAGAGCAGAAUUGAGUUACGUGUCUGGCGGAAAAUGCCUGUUUUAGUGUGUGUCGCACCUGUAUGGACGUUUCUUUCCCUUAUGUUGUUUGGUUUUGUUUUAUUUAACUUUUUUGUCUCGGCAAUGUUAAUAAUUAUCUCUGGGACUUUUAUUUAUCAUAUGUCCGAUUUUAGUCAAGUUUUGAAUGUUUGUCAAGUUUAUUUUUAGUCAAGUCAAGUCAGUCAAGUCAAGUCAAGUUUUGAUGUUCACUUUUUCUCAGUGCCGCUCAGUAUGAUUGCAAUUCGUUGCUUUUCUGGUAAUGUAGCUUGCUUGAUAUGUAAUAUGUGUACUUAAAUGCUAGUCUAUUUUGAAGGUUUUCUGUUCUGUGUCAGAUUAUCGUAUUUCUUAAAUAAUAAUUUUAAUAAUGAUGAA